CGUGAGGGAAAGGUGAAAAGAACCCCGGGAGGGGAGUGAAAUAGAACCUGAAACCCUGCACUUACAAGCUGUGGGAGCACAUUACUUGUGUGACCGCGUACUUUUUGUAGAACGGGCCAACGAGUUACGUUAAGUAGCAAGGUUAAGCACUUAAGGUGUGGAGCCGUAGCGAAAGCGAGUCUUAAAUGGGCGAUUAAGUUACUUGGCGUAGACCCGAAACCGGGCGACCUAUCCAUGAGCAGGUUGAAGCGAAAGUAAAAUUUCGUGGAGGACCGAACCCACGAGCGUUGAAAAGCUCGGGGAUGACUUGUGGAUAGCGGUGAAAUUCCAAUCGAGCCCGGAGAUAGCUGGUUCUCCCCGAAAUAGCUUUAGGGCUAGCCUCAAGCGUAGAGAAACGGAGGUAGAGCACUGAAUGUCCUAGGGGGUAUUGCACUUACCGAAGACUAUCAAACUCCGAAUGCCGUUUUCUUUUACUUGGGAGUCAGACUGUGGGUGAUAAGAUUCAUAGUCAAAAGGGCAACAGCCCAGAUCGUCAGCUAAGGUCCCUAAAUGUACGUUAAGUGGUAAAGGAUGUGGGAUUGCACAGACAACCAGGAUGUUGGCUUAGAAGCAGCCACUCAUUUAAAGAGUGCGUAAUAGCUCACUGGUCGAGUGAUCCUGCGCCGAAAAUUUCCGGGGCUAAAACGUACUACCGAAGCUACGGCAUCAUUUAUGAUGGGUAGGGGAGCUUCGUAUGCAGGCUGAAGCAUGACCGUAAGGACAUGUGGACAGUAUACGAGUGAGAAUGUUGGCAUGAGUAGCGAGACGUGGGUGAGAAUCCCACGGGCCGUAAACCCAAGGUUUCCAGGGGAAGGUUCGUCCGCCCUGGGUUAGUCGGGACCUAAGCCGAGGCCGAAAGGCGUAGGUGAUGGACAACAGGUUGAUAUUCCUGUACCGCCAAUAAGCGUUUGAGAGAUGGAGUGACACAGUAGGAUAAGCUAACCGUACUGUUGGUUAUGUACGGCUAAGCAUUGAGGCAGUCUAAAUAGGCAAAUCCGUUUAGACAAUGCUAGGAUGUGAUGGGGAAGCCCUCCGGGGCGAAGUAGCUGAUUUCACACUGUCAAGAAAAGCUUCUAUCGAGUUUAAAGGCGCCCGUACCGUAAACCGACACAGGUGGGUGAGGAGAGUAUCCUAAGGCCAGCGAGAGAACUAUUGUUAAGGAACUCGGCAAAAUGACCCCGUAACUUAGGGAGAAGGGGUGCCUGUCUAUGACAGGCCGCAGAGAAUAGGCCCAAGCGACUGUUUACCAAAAACACAGGUUUCUGCUAAGUCGCAAGACGAUGUAUAGGAGCUGACGCCUGCCCGGUGCUGGAAGGUUAAGGGGAUCUGUUAGAGCAAUCGAAGCAGUGAACUUAAGCCCCAGUAAACGGCGGCCGUAACUAUAACGGUCCUAAGGUAGCGAAAUUCCUUGUCGGGUAAGUUCCGACCCGCACGAAAGGCGUAAUGAUUUGAGCGCUGUCUCGACAAUGCACCCGGUGAAAUUGAAAUACCAGUGAAGAUGCUGGUUACC
rnacentral:rRNA from 1 species